rfam:Danio rerio chromosome 1, GRCz11 reference primary assembly.
GCCGGCAGCUAGCUCUCUGCAACUCUCACAUGGUCGCCCACUGAGGCUAAGCAGGGCUGCGCCCGGUCAGUACCUGGAUGGGAGACCACAUGGGAAAGCUAGGUUGCUGCCGGAA